UGGUUCCUAUAAAAGAUGUCCUUGUUGAGGGU
rnacentral:piRNA from 1 species